rnacentral:rRNA from 1 species
GUUGUAUGGUUAAGUGACUAAGCGUACACGGUGGAUGCCUUGGCAGUCAGAGGCGAUGAAAGACGUAGUAACUUGCGAUAAGCCCAGAUUAGGUAGUAACAACCAUUUGAGUCUGGGAUUUCUGAAUGGGGAAACCCACUUACAUAAGUAAGUAUCAUUAACUGAAUACAUAGGUUAAUGAGGCGAACCGGGGGAACUGAAACAUCUAAGUACCCCGAGGAAAAGAAAUCAACCGAGAUUCCGAAAGUAGCGGCGAGCGAAAUUGGACUAGCCCUUAAGCUUUACACGCGUUAGACGAACGGUCUGGAAAGUCCGACGAUACAGGGUGAUAGUCCCGUAGUUGACGACGUGUGUUCAGUGAAAUCGAGUAGGGCGGGACACGUGAUAUCCUGUCUGAAUAUGGGGGGACCAUCCUCCAAGGCUAAAUACUACUGACUGACCGAUAGUGAACCAGUACCGUGAGGGAAAGGCGAAAAGAACCCCUGUGAGGGGAGUGAAAUAGAACCUGAAACCGUGUACGUACAAGCAGUAGGAGCAGGCUUUGUCCUGUGACUGCGUACCUUUUGUAUAAUGGGUCAGCGACUUAUAUUCAGUGGCAAGGUUAACCAUCUAGGGGAGCCGUAGGGAAACCGAGUCUUAACUGGGCGUUCAGUCUCUGGAUAUAGACCCGAAACCAGGUGAUCUAGCCAUGGGCAGGUUGAAGGUUGAGUAACAUCAACUGGAGGACCGAACCGACUAAUGUUGAAAAAUUAGCGGAUGACUUGUGGCUAGGGGUGAAAGGCCAAUCAAACCUGGAGAUAGCUGGUUCUCCCCGAAAGCUAUUUAGGUAGCGCCUCGGACGAAUACUACUGGGGGUAGAGCACUGUUAAGGCUAGGGGGUCAUCCCGACUUACCAACCCUUUGCAAACUCCGAAUACCAGUAAGUACUAUCCGGGAGACACACGGCGGGUGCUAACGUCCGUCGUGGAGAGGGAAACAACCCAGACCGCCAGCUAAGGUCCCAAAUUACUACUAAGUGGGAAACGAUGUGGGAAGGCUCAGACAGCCAGGAUGUUGGCUUAGAAGCAGCCAUCAUUUAAAGAAAGCGUAAUAGCUCACUGGUCGAGUCGGCCUGCGCGGAAGAUGUAACGGGGCUAAGUAGUAAACCGAAGCUGCGGCAAUGUGCUUUUGCACAUUGGGUAGGGGAGCGUUCUGUAAGCGGUUGAAGGUGUGUGGUAACGCAUGCUGGACGUAUCAGAAGUGCGAAUGCUGACAUGAGUAACGAUAAAGGGGGUGAAAAACCUCCUCGCCGGAAGACCAAGGGUUCCUGUCCAACGUUAAUCGGGGCAGGGUAAGUCGACCCCUAAGGCGAGGCCGAAAGGCGUAGUCGAUGGGAAACGGGUUAAUAUUCCCGUACUUCUUACAAUUGCGAUGGGGGGACGGAGAAGGCUAGGUGGGCCUGGCGACGGUUGUCCAGGUUCAAGUGCGUAGGCUUAAGAGUUAGGUAAAUCCGGCUCUUUCUAAGGCUGAGACACGACGUCGAGCACCUACGGGUGUGAAGUCAUUGAUGCCAUGCUUCCAGGAAAAGCCUCUAAGCUUCAGAUUGUAAGGAAUCGUACCCCAAACCGACACAGGUGGUCGGGUAGAGAAUACCAAGGCGCUUGAGAGAACUCGGGUGAAGGAACUAGGCAAAAUGGUACCGUAACUUCGGGAGAAGGUACGCUCUUGAUGGUGAAGUCCCUUGCGGAUGGAGCUAUUGAGAGUCGCAGAUACCAGGUGGCUGCAACUGUUUAUUAAAAACACAGCACUGUGCAAAAUCGUAAGAUGACGUAUACGGUGUGACGCCUGCCCGGUGCCGGAAGGUUAAUUGAUGGGGUUAGACUUCGGUCGAAGCUCUUGAUCGAAGCCCCGGUAAACGGCGGCCGUAACUAUAACGGUCCUAAGGUAGCGAAAUUCCUUGUCGGGUAAGUUCCGACCUGCACGAAUGGCGUAAUGAUGGCCACGCUGUCUCCACCCGAGACUCAGUGAAAUUGAAAUCGCUGUGAAGAUGCAGUGUACCCGCGGCUAGACGGAAAGACCCCGUGAACCUUUACUACAGCUUGGCACUGAACAUUGACCCUACAUGUGUAGGAUAGGUGGGAGGCUUUGAAGCACGUACGCCAGUAUGUGUGGAGCCGUCCUUGAAAUACCACCCUUGUAGUGUUGAUGUUCUAACGUUGACCCCUAAUCGGGGUUGCGGACAGUGCCUGGUGGGUAGUUUGACUGGGGCGGUCUCCUCCCAAAGAGUAACGGAGGAGCACGAAGGUGGGCUAAUCACGGUUGGACAUCGUGAGGUUAGUGCAAUGGCAUAAGCCCGCUUGACUGCGAGAAUGACAAUUCGAGCAGGUGCGAAAGCAGGUCAUAGUGAUCCGGUGGUUCUGAAUGGAAGGGCCAUCGCUCAACGGAUAAAAGGUACUCCGGGGAUAACAGGCUGAUACCGCCCAAGAGUUCAUAUCGACGGCGGUGUUUGGCACCUCGAUGUCGGCUCAUCACAUCCUGGGGCUGAAGUCGGUCCCAAGGGUAUGGCUGUUCGCCAUUUAAAGUGGUACGCGAGCUGGGUUUAGAACGUCGUGAGACAGUUCGGUCCCUAUCUGCCGUGGGCGUUGGAAGAUUGAAGGGGGCUGCUCCUAGUACGAGAGGACCGGAGUGGACGAACCUCUGGUGUUCGGGUUGUGUCGCCAGACGCAUUGCCCGGUAGCUAAGUUCGGAAUCGAUAACCGCUGAAAGCAUCUAAGCGGGAAGCGAGCCCUGAGAUGAGUCUUCCCUGAUACUUUAAGUAUCCUAAAGGGUUGUCGGAGACUACGACGUUGAUAGGUCAGGUGUGUAAGUGCUGUGAGGCAUUGAGCUAACUGAUACUAAUUGCCCGUGAGGCUUAACCAUACAACACCCAAGGGGUUU